GCCGAAGUGGCGAAACAGGUAGACGCAGUUGAUUCAAAAUCAACCGUAUUUUAUACAUGCCGGUUCGAUUCCGGCCUUCGGCA
rnacentral:tRNA from 1 species